CUACGGGACGCUGCAGUGGGGAAUAUUGCACAAUGGAGGAAACUCUGAUGCAGCAACGCCGCGUGGAGGAUGACACUUUUCGGAGCGUAAACUCCUUUUAUAUAGGAAGAAGAUGACGGUACUAUAUGAAUAAGCGCCGGCUAACUCCGUGCCAGCAGCCGCGGUAAUACGGAGGGCGCAAGCGUUACUCGGAAUCACUGGGCGUAAAGAGCGUGUAGGCGGAUUAAAAAGUCAGAAGUGAAAUCCUAUAGCUUAACUAUAGAACUGCUUCUGAAACUCUUAAUCUAGAAUAUGGGAGAGGUAGAUGGAAUUUCUGGUGUAGGGGUAAAAUCCGUAGAGAUCAGAAGGAAUACCGAUUGCGAAGGCGAUCUACUAGAACAUUACUGACGCUAAGGCGUGAAAGCGUGGGGAGCAAACAGGAUUAGAUACCCGGGUAGUC
rnacentral:rRNA from 1 species